CUAGUUGAUCCUGCCAGUAGUCAUAUGCUUGUCUCAAAUAUUAAGCCAUGCAUGUCUAAGUAUGAACUAAUUCAGACUGUGAAACUGCGGAUGGCUCAUUAAAUCAGUUAUAGUUUCUUUGAUGGUACCCUACUACUCGUAUAAUCGUAGUAAUUCUAGAGCUAAUAUGUGCACUAAGUCCCAAAUCUUUGGAAGGGAUGCAUUUAUUAGAUAAAAUGCCAGUACAGGCUUGCCCGCUUCUCUAGUGAAUCAUGAUAACUCGAUGGAUCACACAACCCUUGCGCUGGCGAUGCUUAAUUCAAAUUUCUUCCCUAUGAACUUUCAAUGGUAGGAUAGAGGCCUACCAUGGUGGUGAUGGGUGACAGAGAAUUAGGGUUCUAUUUCGGAGAGGGAGCCUGAGAAACGACUACCACAUCCAAGGAAGGCAGUCGGCGUGCAAAUUACCCAAUCUUGACAUGGGGAAGUAGUGACAAUAAAUAACAAUACUGGGCUCAUCAAGUUUCAUAAUUGGAAUGAGUACAAUCUAAAUCCCUUAAUGAGGAUCCAUUGGAGGGAAAUAUUGGUGCCAACAACCGUUGUAAUUCCAACUCCAAUAGCAUAUAUUUAAGUUGUUGUAGUUAAAAAGCUCGUAGUUGGAUCUUGGGUCGUAAAGGUCGGCCCACCUACUCAGUGUGCACCUGUCCUUCCGUCCCUUUUAUCAGUGGCAUGCUCAUGGCCUUAAUUGGCUAGGUUGUGGUUCCGGUGUUGUUACUUUGAAAAAAUUAGAGUUCUCAAAGCAAGCUUAUGCUCUGAAUACAUUAGCAUGGAAUAAUGCGAUAGGAGUCUGGUCCUAUUGUGUUGGCCUUCGGGACCAGAGUAAUGAUUAAUAGAGACUGUCGGGGGCAUUCGUAUUUCAUUGUCAGAGGUGAAAUUAUUGGAUUUAUGAAAGACAAACCACUGCAUAAUCAUUUUCCAAGGAUGUUUUCAUUAAUCAAGAACAAAAGUUGGGGGCUCAAAGAUGAUCAGAUACCAUCCUAGUCUCAACCAUAAAUGAUGCCAACCAGGGAUCGACAAAUGUUUCUCUAAGGACUCCACCAACACCUUCUGAGAAAUUAGAGUGUUUGGGUUCUG
rnacentral:ncRNA from 1 species